rnacentral:rRNA from 1 species
UCAACAACGGAUCUCUUGGUUCUGGCAUCGAUGAAGAACGCAGCGAAAUGCGAUAAGUAAUGUGAAUUGCAGAAUUCAGUGAAUCAUCGAAUCUUUGAACGCACAUUGCGCCCUGUGGUAUUCCGCAGGGCAUGCCUGUUCGAGCGUCAUUACAAC